rnacentral:rRNA from 1 species
UACAGGGGGGGCAAGCGUUGUUCGGAAUUACUGGGCGUAAAGGGCUCGUAGGCGGCCAACUAAGUCACACGUGAAAUCCCCAGCUUAACCUGGGAACUGCGUGUGAUACUGGAUGGCUUGAAUUCGGGAGAGGGAUGCAGAAUUCCAGGUGUAGCGGUGAAAUGCGUAGAUAUCUGGAGGAAUACCGGUGGCGAAGGCGGCAUCCUGGACCGACAUUGACGCUGAAGCGCGAAAGCUAGGGGAGCAAACGGG